rnacentral:rRNA from 1 species
GACGAACGCUGGCGGCGUGCCUAAUACAUGCAAGUCGAACGCACAGUUUAUACCGUAGCUUGCUACACCAUAGACUGUGAGUUGCGAACGGGUGAGUAACGCGUAGGUAACCUGCCUGGUAGCGGGGGAUAACUAUUGGAAACGAUAGCUAAUACCGCAUAAUAUUAAUUAUUGCAUGAUACUUAAUUGAAAGGUGCAAUUGCACCACUACCAGCUGGACCUGCGUUGUAUUAGCUAGUAGGUGAGGUAACGGCUCACCUAGGCGACGAUACAUAGCCGACCUGGAAGGGUGAUCGGCCACACUGGGAAUGAGAAACGGCCCAGACUCCUACGGGAGGCAGCAGUAGGGAAUCUUCGGCAAUGGACGAAAGUCUGACCGAGCAACGCCGCGUGAGUGAAGAAGGUUUUCGGAUCGUAAAGCUCUGUUGUAAGAGAAGAACGGGUGGGAGAGUGGAAAGUUCACACUGUGACGGUAUCUUACCAGAAAGGGACGGCUAACUACGUG